GGUGGCUCAUUGGUAGAGUCCUUGCCUUGCAUGCAUGAGGUCCUAGGUUUGAUUCCUUAGCACCA
rnacentral:tRNA from 1 species